rnacentral:ncRNA from 1 species
GCAUGGCUGUCGUCAGCUCGUGCCGUGGGGUGUCGACUUAAGUGUCGAAACGAGCGCAACCCUUAUCGCAUGUUCAAUAGUCUUGCGAAACUGCCUUGCCUAUAGCGGGGAGGAAGGAGGGGAUGACGUCAAGUCAGCAUGGCGCUUAUAUCUGGGGCCACACACAUCCUACAAUGGGGAGUAACAACGGGUUGCCAAGCCGCAAGGCGGAGCUAAUCCCAUCAAACCUCCCCUCAGUUCAGAUUGGGGGCUGCAACUCGCCCCCAUGAAGAUGGACUUGGUAGUAAUCGCGGAUCAGCAGGCCGCGGUGAAUACGUUCUCUCUUUUUGUACACACCGCCCAUCAAGCCAGCAAAGUCGGCAGGACCUGAAAUUCUACCUUUGGUGGGACGAGGGUCAGGUCGGCGAUGAGGGCUAAGUUGUAACAAGGUAUCCCUAGCCGAAGCUGGGGAUGGAUCACCUCCUUU